rnacentral:tRNA from 1 species
GGGUCAUUAGCUCAAUGGUAGAGCAGGAGACUCUUAAUCUCUUGGUUGUAGGUUCGAGUCCUACAUGACCCA